rnacentral:sRNA from 1 species
UAAUAACCACACGGAAUGGGAAUGUAUAAAUGCCAUAUACCGUAUGUAUGGUAUGUAUCGAGAAAUCUUCCCUCAAUUUAUUAAACAAAACAAACAAAUUCUGGCACUGAUUGGCUUAACGGUUUACAGUGAAACAGACUCGUCCGAAUCACACGACGCGGAUAUUAAUCAGCCUACCGUGGCGUAUUCUGCUCGCAUUACUUGACGUUGGAAAGCAUUGUAAUCCAAAAGAUCGCUGAUAAUGCGAAAUAAAUUUCAAGCCGCUCUUAGGGGCGUAACGCGACAAUACAUUAUAAGACAGUCGUGGCCCCGUGGCAGAGAGAUAUUUAGGACGCAACUGAUAAUACACGCAUCUUCUACUAGCCCAUUCACCUGUAGGAACUACUCAAAGUUUAGCACACAUCUGUCUAUGGAGCGGGCGAUGGAGCUGCUAUGCAACCUUGAUGACGAGGAACGCAGCAACCUGCGCUCCGCUCUUGGCAGGCUGGAUGCCGA